CCCUUAGAUGUUCUGGGCUGCACGCGUGCUACAAUGGCGCUUGCAACAAGUCUUGCCAACCCGAUAGGGUGAGCGGAUCUUUGAAGAGGCGUCGUGAUCGGGACAGUUGAUUGCAAUUAUUCGACUCGAACGAGGAAUUCCUUGUAAUCGCGAUUCAUCAUAUCGCGCUGAAUACGUCCCUGCCCUUUGUACACACCGCCCGUCGCUCCUACCGAUUGAGCGAUCCGGUGAAUGUUUUGGACUGGCGUCGGAAGCGGUUCGCUCCUGACACUACGAAAUUUUGUAAACCUUAUCGCUUAGAGGAAGGAAAAGUCGUAACA
rnacentral:rRNA from 1 species